CUUCCGACGUCGUCGUCAUGGAAACUCAGACUGUGUGAACUGUGGUUUAAAGGGACCCUGGAGCACAACCCCUGUCCCGAACACCGUCCGGCCCACGGGAUGAAGGACGGCAGCCUGGAGGAGGCGGUGUCUGGGCGGAACCUUCAGAGCCAUUGCCGGAGGGAGCAAAGCUGAGGACUCGGGAAUCUGCGGCUGGAGCUUUGCAGGAGCUGAGGAGUCCCUGGGGCGGAUCUGGAGGCCCGUUUCAGACGCGUGAGUGCGAGGAGACCCGUCACUCUGAGAACCGGGGACCCAGUUGGCAUCCACCGGCCUCUACACAGCCCAGCAGGGGCGCAGAAGCCGUGACUCCAGGGAAGGAGCCCAGGCCCACGUCCUGCUGAGCCAGGUGGGGCUGCUCCACCCGCGGGCCUCCUGUCAGUUGUCUCCCAGGCACGGGAUGGAGACGCUCAUAUGUUCUCUGACCAAAGGCAAAGGCCCGGCUCGUGGCAUCCACUCUGCUCCUGCCCGUGGGGCGUUCGCGGGGCCGAGAACCCCAUCCCGGGCUCUGGGGACAGGGUCUUGGUGCAGCCCCGCCUGGGGGGUCCUGCGCCCCAGGGCGCCACACGCGGGGCCGCGCCCACGUGCUCAAAGGGAGCCCGCGGACUCCGGAGCUCGGCUCUGCCCAGAUGCAGUGCACUGCCUCCUGCUUGCCCCACCCCCAGCACCUCUUCUCGCAGUUGUCCCCCCUUUUCUCCCCAGAGCCCACUCCUGUUCCUGCGCUGCCCCUAACUGCCCAUAGCGUCCAGGAAACAGUCCUCGCCUCCUAGGCCCACUUCCGACUCCAGCCCUGCCCCUGCGGGCAGGCACUGCUAGGCAGCGAUUGCCCCUCACCUCUCCUGUCCCCUUUCCAGGGUCCUGUACUUGGGCCCCUCCUCCACUGCACCCCAUACUAGGUGGCCACGGCUGUGAAGACCAGGCAGCAGCUCCAGGUCCCCUGAACAUGUGUCCCCGCCCUAAGAACAGGCUUCUCAGAAUCAGGAGUGCAGAGCUGACCUGACUCCAGCCUCGGUCUGUGCCCCUACUCCCAUCAAGACGGAGCUCAGUCCAGGCAGGGGCUCUGGCUGGCCUACAGCAGCCCAGACCCAGGCCACUGCCCCCGUCCACCUGCCCUUGCUGGGCUCCUCCUGCUCCCCCUCCAGCCCGUAGGACAACCAGGACUUUUUCUUGUAGCUCCUUUUUCAAAUUGUCACAUACACACAUGCAUUUAAAAUGUGCCAUGCAGGGGACACGCAGUGUGGGCAGCCACCCCUGCCUUCACCUGUGGGGUUUUUCUGUCCCCCCACACUGGCACUCCAUCCCCGACAAACUCCCCGCCUGCCCCAGCCCGACCCCCAACCUCCCCCAUCUCCCCAGGAUCCUACUCCUCUGAGCGUCUCGCGAGUGGGGUCGCUGUGCCUGGCAACUCCACCCGCCCAUGUCCUGCAGACCACCCACGUGGCGGCUACAGCAGGACCCCCUCCUUUUGAAGGCUGCGUGACAUCCAUUGUGUGGACAGAUGCGGUUGCUUAUCCACCUGCCCUUACAUGGCACUCGGGUUGUGUCCUCAGCUCUCACCUUGGGACCGUGCGCCUCAGCAAACUCGCCAACUCUUGGUUGUGCCCAGAGUUCCCGGGGCGGCUCUGCCGCCCGACAGCUGACAGCUCUUCAGACGCCAUGUGUGGUUGCAGCUGGGCAGAGUGACCCUGCAUCUCCUGGGGGCCUGCCCUCUUUGUUGCUGGUGAGGCAGUGGGAGGGGUGCACUGGUCUGGGUGGUGUCCCUCAGAGGCCAGGCCCUGGAGGGGGCGUGGGGUCUGCCAGACAGACCUGUGAGCACAGGACUGCUGGGACCAGGUGAGCAGACGGCAGUGCCCGCCCAGGGGGCGGGGCACAGAGAGGGGCCGCUGCAGGGGACCUGGAGGUGGGAGUGUGGGACACACGGCCGGACCCAGAGCUCUGUGUCUCCAAGUCAGGGUGCACCAGCUCCGCCUGGCCUCCUCCUCCAAGUCCUGAGCCAGGCACCCUCCAGGGGCAGGCUGGGCUCCAGAGGGGCAGCCGGAUGGUCCCCCUCAAGGAUGGAGGUGCAGCACUGCCUAUGGUCUGCAGCCCGCAGGGCUCUGCUUCCAAAUUUGUCCCAGGUUGUGGGUGUUUCAAGUGGAAGAUGGUAUAGACUGUGAUAAACCACUAAGAACAGCCCGGAGUGAGUGACUCUUCAAUUAAUACACGUGAUAAAAUAAUAAAGGAAAACCAAAAGAUACAAAUGGAGGAAACGGA